GACGAACGCUGGCGGCGUGCUUAACACAUGCAAGUCGAACGGAAAGGCCCUGCUUUUGUGGGGUGCUCGAGUGGCGAACGGGUGAGUAACACGUGAGUAACCUGCCCUUGACUUUGGGAUAACUUCAGGAAACUGGGGCUAAUACCGGAUAGGAGCUCCUGCUGCAUGGUGGGGGUUGGAAAGUUUCGGCGGUUGGGGAUGGACUCGCGGCUUAUCAGCUUGUUGGUGGGGUAGUGGCUUACCAAGGCUUUGACGGGUAGCCGGCCUGAGAGGGUGACCGGCCACAUUGGGACUGAGAGACGGCCCAGACUCCUACGGGAGGCAGCAGUGGGGAAUAUUGCACAAUGGGCGGAAGCCUGAUGAAGCAACGCCGCGUGCGGGAUGAGGGCCUUCGGGUUGUAAACCGCUUUCGCCUGUGACGAAGCGUGAGUGACGGUAAUGGGUAAAGAAGCACCGGCUAACUACGUG
rnacentral:rRNA from 1 species